rnacentral:rRNA from 1 species
AACGUAGGACACGAGCGUUAUCCGGAGUUACUGGGCGUAAAGGGCGGGUAGGUGGUGCGAUAAGACUGGUGUGAAAGCCUUCGGCUUAACCGAGGGAGGACACUGGUGACUGUCGGACUUGAGGCAGAUAGAGGGGUGUAGAAUUCCGGGUGUAGUGGUGAAAUGCGUAGAGAUCCGGAGGAAUACCAGAGGCGAAGGCGGCACCCUGGGUCUGACCUGACACUGAGCCGCGACAGCAUGGGGAGCGAACGGG